rnacentral:rRNA from 1 species
UACGGGGGGGGCAAGCGUUGUUCGGAAUUACUGGGCGUAAAGGGCUCGUAGGCGGCCAACUAAGUCGGACGUGAAAUCCCUCGGCUUAACCGGGGAACUGCGUCUGAUACUGGAUGGCUUGAAUCCGGGAGAGGGAUGCGGAAUUCCAGGUGUAGCGGUGAAAUGCGUAGAGAUCAGGAAGAACAUCGGUGGCGAAGGCGCUCUGCUGGACCAUAACUGACACUCAGGGACGAAAGCUAGGGGAGCGAAUGGG